rnacentral:rRNA from 1 species
AGUGAACGCUGGCGGUAGGCCUAACACAUGCAAGUCGAACGGCAGCACAGUAAGAGCUUGCUCUUACGGGUGGCGAGUGGCGGACGGGUGAGGAAUACAUCGGCAUCUACUUUUUCGUGGGGGAUAACGUAGGGAAACUUACGCUAAUACCGCAUACGACCUACGGGUGAAAGCAGGGGAUCUUCGGACCUUGCGCGAUUGAAUGAGCCGAUGUCGGAUUAGCUAGUUGGCGGGGUAAAGGCCCACCAAGGCGAGGAUCCGUAGCUGGUCUGAGAGGAUGAUCAGCCACACUGGAACUGAGACACGGUCCAGACUCCUACGGGAGGCAGCAGUGGGGAAUAUUGGACAAUGGGCGCAAGCCUGAUCCAGCCAUACCGCGUGGGUGAAGAAGGCCUUCGGGUUGUAAAGCCCUUUUGUUGGGAAAGAAAAGCAGCAGGUUAAUACCCCGCUGUUCUGACGGUACCCAAAGAAUAAGCACCGGCUAACUUCGUG